UACGAAGGGGGCUAGCGUUGCUCGGAAUCACUGGGCGUAAAGGGUGCGUAGGCGGGUCUUUUAAGUCAGGGGUGAAAUCCUGGAGCUCAACUCCAGAACUGCCUUUGAUACUGAGGAUCUUGAGUUCGGGAGAGGUGAGUGGAACUGCGAGUGUAGAGGUGAAAUUCGUAGAUAUUCGCAAGAACACCAGUGGCGAAGGCGGCUCACUGGCCCGAUACUGACGCUGAGGCACGAAAGCGUGGGGAGCAAACAGGAUUA
rnacentral:rRNA from 1 species